GAUGAACGCUGGCGGCGUGCCUAAUACAUGCAAGUCGAGCGAACAGACGAGGAGCUUGCGCCUCUCACGUUAGCGGCGGACGGGUGAGUAACACGUGGAUCACCUACCUAUAAGACUGGGAUAACUUCGGGAAACCGGAGCUAAUACCGGAUAAUCUCUUGAACCGCAUGGUUCAAUAGUGAAAGACGGCUUUGCUGUCACUUAUCGCUGGUUCCGCGCCGCAUUAGCUAGUUGUUAAGGUAACGGCCUACCAAGGCAACGAUGCGUAGCCGACCUGAGAGGGGGAUCGGCCACACUGGAACGGGGACACGGUCCAGACUACUACGGGAGGGAGCAGUAGGGAAUCGUCCGCAAUGGGCGGAAGCCUGACGGAGCAAGGGCGCGUGAGUGAUGAAGGUCUUGGGUGCGUAAAACUGUGUUAUUAGGGAAGAACAAAUGUGUAAGUAACUAUGCACGUCUUGACGGUAACUAAUCAGAAAGCCACGGCUAACUACGUG
rnacentral:rRNA from 1 species